rnacentral:lncRNA from 1 species
CUCAAUUAUUAAGUAAUAAUAGAUUCUUUCUCCUGGAAUUUUAAUGGCACUUAAACCAAACAAAGCAGGUAAAGCACUUAGCCCACAAGAAGCAAGUGGACAAUCAAUGUUAGUCAUCAUAAGACUAAAAAUUAACUUAAGCAUCAAGACUGGAUUUCCAAGCAGAAUGUUCAUAUCUUUUUCUGUACGUAGACUGACUCAGCCUUGCCACAAUUUUGUGGGCGAAGUGGGCUUGAACAAGGAACACGAAGUCCCAGUUGUCACAGAGAGCCAUCUUGCUCCCCUGAGGAGAACUGGUCUUAAGAUCAAGAGUGACAGAGCAGAGCUACUGAAAGAACCUGAAUUUUCGAUACCUCCAUUGAACUGCUGUUCAUUAUCGCUGGAGCCCACUUUACCCUUUGGAUUGCCAGAAAUGGAAGAAAAUAAAUGUCCUUUUUGUUUGUCUAUUUAAACGGAGCUUUUCUGUAAUACACAGCCAAAAGCUCUCAAGUGUAACUUACUUAAACUCUUAAAAAUAGCAUUGUGUAUUUACUUUAUUCUUUCCUCACAACUUUGGGUGGCAUACUUCUAAUACAUUUGAGAAUACAGAGGCCAACUAAGGACAAAUUAUGUACCAAAUAUAAUCUAACCAUGUUAUGACUAGAACUUCCACAGCCUAACAUACCAACAACAUAUGAUAGUCCCUUAAGAUAAUUCAGACAGAUCAAAACAGUAGCUUAAGUAUUUAAACCAUUCUGUGACCUCUGCCAGGUUACUCAUUCUCGCUAGGCCUGAAUUUCACAUCUGUAAGAUAAGGAUAAUAAUAUCUACCUGAUGGACUUGUGGUGUAAACUGAAGAUCUAAACAUCUGAAACAUAGUAAGCUCUCAAUAAGUAUCUGCUCUGUGUGAAUUUCCCAGCACAUCCAGCUCACAGCUUUACAUAGUGGCUACUCAGUCAAUGUUUCCUGAACAAAAUAAAAUUGAGUACUAUAUCCA